UCAAUACAUCAUCAUCAUCAUCACCAGAUUCUUCUUCCACAACUUUCUUAGACAUUUUCAUUGUCAUUGCUUUAGCCUUCCUCGUAUUCUUAUACUGAAGCACUUCAUUUCGAACAAAUUUUGUUGAUUUUAGACACUUCACGCAAUUGUUGUCGCCUCCAAUGAUAUGCCCUUUCAACCGAGCAAUCCCCGCUUUCGAAAUGAAAUGGCAGAAAAGACACUUCACCUUGUUUGAGUCUUUAUUCACCACAACCCCAUAUUUUCAAGCCGGAUCAUUUGAUUUUGGUCUCAUCAAUGGGCUUGUUUUUUCUUCUUCAGUGGUUAAUGGAUGCCAUUUGAAUUUCUUGUUUCCCUCAUCAUCCAAUUCCACAUUUUCUUCAAAAACAUUCAUUGGCUCAUUUUCUUCAUGAUCCAUGGUUUGAAUUUGUUCUUAACUCUGAAAUUUAAGAAAACAAAUUCAGAUAUUAAAAUGUGAAAUUUAAGGGAAAAAAUUCAGAUGUUAGCUCUGAAUUCCCGAUUUAAUUUAACACUCCACCGACUGGAACUGUGGAACACUCUGAAUUCCAGAUUUAAUCCCCACUCUGAAAUACCUAACUUUGUGUAUUAAAGACACCAAUCCAAUGAAAUCAGCACACAAUAGAUCUCUCUAUUCACUCUAUAGUCUAUUCUAAAUCCAAUGAAAUCAGCAGUGCUUCAAAUUGUAUUUAUUUAUAGUCUAUAGUCUGAAAUCAGCAGUGCUUCUAUAGUCUAUUCACUCUAUAGUCUGAUUCAGCACCUCCUUCAAAUUGUAUUUAUUUAUAUCAAAAUACAGUACUACCUUGUAUUCUUGUAAUCGCUUCUUGUAUAUACAGUAUUUAUUUAUAUCAAAAUACAGUACUACCUUAUAUCAAAAUACACUACUAUCAAAUUGUAUUUAUUUAUAUUCAGCACCUCCUUCUAUAGUAUCAAUACCCAUCAAAAUAACUCACGAUUUCUACCUUGUUAGGUGUGUAACUGUAAUCGCGAGUUUAUACCCAUCUAGAAAGUAGAAACGCGAUUUCUACCUUGGAAGCAGCGGCCAGGAAACGCGAUUUCCUUCGUCGAUUUCAGUAGCAGAGGAAGCAGCAACAGAAAUCCUUGGGCGAUUUCACGAUUUCAGUAGCAGCGGAGCCGGAAGCAGGCAAGCAACUGAUUUCACGAUUUUAGUAGUAUACUAAUAUCGUUGUAAAUGAUUUAGGAUUUAGGU
rnacentral:lncRNA from 1 species